UACAGAGACUGCAAGCGUUAUUCGGAUUCACUGGGCGUAAAGGGUGCGCAGGCGGUUGGGUGUGUCAGAUGUGAAAUCCCGAGGCUUAACCUCGGAACUGCGUCUGAAACUACUCGACUAGAGUAUUGGAGAGGGUAACGGAAUUCACGGUGUAGCAGUGAAAUGCGUAGAUAUCGUGAGGAACACCUGAGGCGAAGGCGGUUACCUGGACAAUUACUGACGCUCAGGCACGAAAGCAUGGGGAGCAAAAGGG
rnacentral:rRNA from 1 species